AAGCGUGUACUAAGUGGAAAAGGAUGUGGGGUCGCGAAGACAACCAGGAGGUUGGCUUAGAAGCAGCCACCCUUGAAAGAGUGCGUAAUAGCUCACUGGUCAAGUGAUCCUGCGCCGACAAUGUAGCGGGGCUCAAGUACACCGCCGAAGCCGCGGCACUCACAUAUAGCCCGUCGAUCUUCUAUGGAGGGUCGGCCAGGUGUGUGGGUGGGUAGGAGGGAGCGUCCUGCAUCCGUGGAAGCGCCGGAGUGAUCCAGGUGUGGAGGGUGUGGGAGUGAGAAUGCAGGCAUGAGUAGCGAAAGCAGAGUGAGAAACUCUGCCGCCGAAUGACCAAGGGUUCCUGGGCCAGGCUAAUCCGCCCAGGGUGAGUCGGGACCUAAGGCGAGGCCGACAGGCGUAGUCGAUGGACAACGGGUUGAUAUUCCCGUACCCGUGUAUCCGCGCCCAUGCUGAAUCAGUUGUACUAACCAUCCUGAUCCCCCGGGAGCACCUUCGGGUGCCGAGUUGGGGUGAUGCAUGGGACCUUGGCUGGUAGUAGGCAAGCGAUGGGGUGACGCAGGAAGGUAGUGGGGCCAGUCAGUGGUUGUACUGGUGUAAGCCUGUAGGGCGAGUGAUAGGCAAAUCCGUCACUCAUACAGCCUGAGAGGUGAUGCGUAGCCGUUGAGGUGAAUUCCAUGAUCCUAUGCUGCCGAGAAAAGCCUCUAGUGAGUUGGUACACGGCCCGUACCCCAAACCAACACAGGUGGUCAGGUAGAGAAUACUAAGGCGAUCGAGAGAACUGUGGUUAAGGAACUCGGCAAAAUGCCCCCGUAACUUCGGGAGAAGGGGGACCCAUCCUGGUGACGGCACUUACUGCUUGAGCUGGUGUGGGUCGCAGAGACCAGAGAGAAGCGACUGUUUACUAAAAACACAGGUCCGUGCGAAGUCGUAAGACGAUGUAUACGGACUGACGCCUGCCCGGUGCUGGAAGGUUAAGAGGACCGGUUAGUCACUUCGGUGGCGAAGCUGAGAAUUUAAGCCCCAGUAAACGGCGGUGGUAACUAUAACCAUCCUAAGGUAGCGAAAUUCCUUGUCGGGUAAGUUCCGACCUGCACGAAUGGCGUAACGACUUCUCUGCUGUCUCAACCACAGACUCGGCGAAAUUGCAGUACGAGUAAAGAUGCUCGUUACGCGCGGCAGGACGAAAAAGACCCCCGGGACCUUCACUAUAGCUUGGUAUUGGUGUUCGGUUCGGUUUGUGUAGGAUAGGUGGGAGACUGUGAAGUGGGCACGCCAGUGUUCAUGGAGUCGUUGUUGAAAUACCACUCUGAUCGUAUUGGACUUCUAACCUCGGACCCUGAUCGGGUUCAGGGACAGUGCCUGGUGGGUAGUUUAACUGGGGCGGUUGCCUCCUAAAAGGUAACGGAGGCGCCCAAAGGUUCCCUCAGCCUGGUUGGCAAUCAGGUGUUGAGUGUAAGUGCACAAGGGAGCUUGACUGUGAGACGUACAUGUCGAGCAGGGACGAAAGUCGGGACUAGUGAUCCGGCACCGGCAAGUGGAAGCGGUGUCGCUCAACGGAUAAAAGGUACCCCGGGGAUAACAGGCUGAUCUUCCCCAAGAGUCCAUAUCGACGGGAUGGUUUGGCACCUCGAUGUCGGCUCGUCGCAUCCUGGGGCUGGAGUAGGUCCCAAGGGUUGGGCUGUUCGCCCAUUAAAGCGGCACGCGAGCUGGGUUUAGAACGUCGUGAGACAGUUCGGUCUCUAUCCGCCGCGCGCGUAAGAAACUUGAGGAAACCUGUCCCUAGUACGAGAGGACCGGGACGGACGAACCUCUGGUGUGCCAGUUGUCCCGCCAGGGGCACUGCUGGUUAGCUACGUUCGGAAGGGAUAACCGCUGAAAGCAUCUAAGCGGGAAGCCUGUUCCAAGAUGAGGUUUCUCACCCCCCUCAGCGGGGUUAAGGCCCCCCUACAGACCAUGGGGUUGAUAGGCCAGAACUGUACGCACAGCAAUGUGUUCAGGUGACUGGUACUAAUCGGCCGAGGACUUACCAAC
rnacentral:rRNA from 1 species